GACGAACGCUGGCGGCGUGCUUAACACAUGCAAGUCGAACGGAGAGCGCUGGCAGCUUGCGUCUAUCAGACUUAGUGGCGAACGGGUAAGUAACGCGUAAUCAACCUGCCCUUCAGGGGGGAACAACAGUUGGAAACGACUGCUACUACCACAUACGACUGAAUCUUGGCAUCGGGUGGAAAUUAAAGGUGGCCGGUACUGGUCAGCUGUCACUGAAGGAGGUGGUUGCGGCUGUUGCGUACGUUGGCGGGGUAGGGGCGCACCACGGCGAGGAUGAGUAGCCGCUCGGAUAGGAUGAGCGGCCACAUUGGGAGUGAGACACGGCCCAGUGGCCUACGGGAGGCAGCAGGGGGGAUUCUUGCGCAAGGGACGAAAGUCUGACGGAGCAACGCCGCGUGAGUGAUGACGGCCUUCGCGUUGUAGAGCUCUGUUAAUCGGGACGAAAGGGCUUCUUGCGAAUAGUGAGAAGGAUUGACGGUACCGGAAUAGAAAGCCACGGCUAACUACGUG
rnacentral:rRNA from 1 species